rnacentral:rRNA from 1 species
GAUGAACGCUGGCGGUAUGCUUAACACAUGCAAGUCGAACGGUGCUUUUGGGCACAGUGGCGGACGGGUGAGUAACGCGUGAGAAUCUGGCUUCAGGUCUGGGACAACCACUGGAAACGGUGGCUAAUACCGGAUGUGCCGAGAGGUGAAAGGUUAACUGCCUGAAGAUGAGCUCGCGUCUGAUUAGCUAGUUGGAAGUGUAAUGGACUCCCAAGGCGACGAUCAGUAGCUGGUCUGAGAGGACGAUCAGCCACACUGGGACUGAGACACGGCCCAGACUCCUACGGGAGGCAGCAGUGGGGAAUUUUCCGCAAUGGGCGAAAGCCUGACGGAGCAAUACCGCGUGAGGGAGGAAGGCUCUUGGGUCGUAAACCUCUUUUCUCAGGGAAGAACACAAUGACGGUACCUGAGGAAUAAGCAUCGGCUAACUCCGUGCCAGCAGCCGCGGUAAUACGGAGGAUGCAAGCGUUAUCCGGAAUGAUUGGGCGUAAAGCGUCCGCAGGUGGCUAUGUAAGUCUGCUGUUAAAGAGUCUAGCUCAACUAGAUAAGAGCAGUGGAAACUACAAGGCUAGAGUACGUUCGGGGCAGAGGGAAUUCCUGGUGUAGCGGUGAAAUGCGUAGAGAUCAGGAAGAACACCGGUGGCGAAGGCGCUCUGCUAGGCCGUAACUGACACUGAGGGACGAAAGCUAGGGGAGCGAAUGGGAUUAGAUACCCCAGUAGUCCUAGCCGUAAACGAUGGAUACUAGGCGUGGCUUGUAUCGACCCGAGCCGUGCCGUAGCUAACGCGUUAAGUAUCCCGCCUGGGGAGUACGCCGGCAACGGUGAAACUCAAAGGAAUUGACGGGGGCCCGCACAAGCGGUGGAGUAUGUGGUUUAAUUCGAUGCAACGCGAAGAACCUUACCAAGGCUUGACAUGUCGCGAAUCCUGGUGAAAGCUGGGAGUGCCUUCGGGAGCGCGAACACAGGUGGUGCAUGGCUGUCGUCAGCUCGUGUCGUGAGAUGUUGGGUUAAGUCCCGCAACGAGCGCAACCCUCGUUUUUAGUUGCCAGCAUUAAGUUGGGCACUCUAGAGAGACUGCCGGUGACAAACCGGAGGAAGGUGGGGAUGACGUCAAGUCAGCAUGCCCCUUACGCCUUGGGCUACACACGUACUACAAUGCUCCGGACAGAGGGCAGCAAGCAUGCGAAUGCAAGCAAAUCCCGGAAACCGGAGCUCAGUUCAGAUCGCAGGCUGCAACUCGCCUGCGUGAAGGAGGAAUCGCUAGUAAUUGCAGGUCAGCAUACUGCAGUGAAUUCGUUCCCGGGCCUUGUACACACCGCCCGUCACACCAUGGAAGCUGGUAGUGCCCGAAGUCAUUACUCCAACCCUUCGGGGAGGAGGAUGCCUAAGGCAGGACUGGUGACUGGGGUGAAGUCGUAACAAGGUAGCCGUACCGGAAGGUGUGGCUGGAUCACCUCCUUU